ensembl:lncRNA
AUUAAAGACAAGCAUUUUGAGAGCUCUCAUCACAAAGAUGUUUACUACCAUGGUACCAUCUUUAUACCUUGAGGAGCAGGAUGCCCAGAAUACUUUCUCCACGUGCUGCUGCUGAAUUCAUGCUUAUCUCUCAAGGAUCAGAUUUUUCCAAAGACAACUUCAACAGGUAAAUUCUACUUUCACUCACUGUUGAAAAUUUUAAAAUGCCCAUGAAAACUUGCUCAACAUUGUGAAUUCUCAGAGACAUCCACAUCAAAACUACAACAAGGGAUCACUUAACCAAUGUGAAAGGCCAUCAUCAAAAGUCGACAAAAAGCAAAUGGUGGCGAUGGUGUGGAGAAAAGGGAACACUUUUAUGGUGCUGCUGGGAUGUAAAUGGUAACAGCCAUUGUAAAGAACAGUAAAGAAGUGCCUGUAAGAGUGAAGUAAGUCAGAAAGAAAAACAUCAAUACAGUAUACUAACGCAUAUAUAUGGAAUUCAGAAAGAUGGUAACAAUGACCCUGUAUGCGAGACAGCAAAAGAGACACAGAUGUAAAG